CAGCCACAUCACGUUGAAACAUCUUUUCCUGUAAGAUCACCGAAGUUAAGCAACAUCGAGCCUAGUCUGUACCUAGAUGGGUGACCGCUUGGGAAUACCAUUGGGUG